ensembl:lncRNA
GACAAUUUUUAAAAAAUAAACUUUAAAUGAUUUGCUUAUUAAUUUGUUUGUAAUGAAAUGGUUGUUUCUAAAUCAGCAACAGCCCAUAAAGCUGUUUUAUCAUGUGUAGUUAAACAUCCUCAAAACAUGCAGAUUUCUUUUGCUGUUAAUUUACUUACAGACUUUUUUCUUCAUAGAUAUAUGAAGAUAAAAUUCUGCCCAAGCUAUAAAAAUUAUUGUAAAUUUAAGAUAAUGAUAUUUGAAUUGAUGUUCCAUUUUUGGCAGAGAAUUCAGCUGUGUAUAAAAAUGAAAGGUUAGAAAAAUAUUACUAAAGUAAAAGCGUUAUUUUGAAAAAUGAUUUGUAUUAAAUUAUUUGGCUCCCUCUCAAUCAGUUUGUGCUUGUAGAUACAGCCUUUCUGAGCUGUUGGACAGGCAAUUUAGUUCUGUGCCUUAAUUUCCCCAUAUGCAUAACGUGAAGAUCGCUAUUCUGGCAUCUGAUGUUUUUCCUGAGACUCUAUCAGAAUACAUAUGGCAUCCAUAUUUCAGCACGAGACUUGAAGGCCAUUGAUAUUUACAAAGUUUCGUCAUUUUAUUUCUUAAAACCAAAUAUAUCUUCUCAUUUCACAGUUUUGAACAUGGAUGAAAAAAAUGACAGAAACUUGUAGUUAAGGAUAUAAAAAAUAUUUAAGUUAGAAAAAUGUCUAUUUGGCAGGAAGAAAAGGAAGAGAGAUUGCUUUAUACUCUCUUUUUUAAGUUUGAAGACCCACAUCAAAGAAAGAAAUUUAAUAAUAGAUGUCAGAAUUUAAAGCUGUGAAAACCAUGUGGAAAAAGAAAUAUGGUUAUACCUCCAGCCCCUUUAGAAGAUAAAGAUAUCAUGAAAUAUGUAUAUUUACUACAUUGGAAAGCUAGUAUAUGUGAUUUUAAUAUGGUUUUCCUAGGAAAGCUUAAAGCAGACCUUCAGUAGAAAUUAAGAUGCAUGCUUCUUCCUUUCCCCUAAAAAACACUCGUUUCAAUAUUGGUAAAGAAGGUGUACACGUGUGUGUUAAGUCUCUUCAGUCGUGUCUGACUCUAUGACCCUAUGGACAGUAGCCCACCAGGCUCCUCUGUUCACAGGAUUCUCCAGGCAAGAAUACUGGAGUAGGUUGCUAUGCCCUCCUCCAAGGGAUCUUCCAGACCCAGGGAUCGUACCUGAGUCUCUUAUAUCUUAUGAAUUGGCGGGCAGGUUUUUUUACAACUAGCACCCUAGAAAUCCGCAAGAACUGUACAUUUAACAAUAUAUAUUUAAGUAAGAACAUCCUUUAAAUGUCAUUGUGUUGUUAUAAUUGCACGAUUUAAAGGGGAUGUGAAUGUGUAUCAUAUUAUAUAUGAAUACAUAGGCUACGGACACUGAAUAGUCUGUCCAAUAAAAUGUGUGUUUGUAUGUAUAUAUACCAAACUUGAAUGGAGGACUAUUUAAUAAAUAUGUUUAUUACUUGCAAGCAUGUUUUACAUUAUUACUGUCAUAGAAGUGGUAGAUAUGACAUUUCCUGCAGUUGAACAGUGUUCAUAAUAUUUGCAUUUACUGAGCAAGAAUUAAUGGUAACAGAAUUUCUGUGUUAACACAAGUGUCUGGGCAUCCUUGAUUCAAGCAUCAUUUAUAAUUGCACUUUCUAAAGAUAAACUGAAGGCUUUGCAAAAUGUCAUGUCUUCUUUUGGAUGAUCUUUCCUUAAACAUUUUUGUUGGCAUUACUAUAAGGUAUAAGACUAGAGCUUUCCACAAAGUAAAAUAUAUAUAUAUAUAUGUAUGUUAUAUGCAGUAUGGAAGUAAAAACUGCAAACAUUGUUUUACAUCAGGACUUAGUAUCUAAAAGUGAAGUGAAAGUGUUAACCACUCAGUAGUGUCUGACUCUGCGACUCCAGGUUCUAUAUAGCCCACCAGGCUCCUCUGUCCAUGGAAUUCUCCAGGCAAAAAUACUAAAGUGGGUUGCCAUUCCCAUCUCCAGGAGGUCUUCCCAACCCAGGGGACAAACCUGGGUCAGCUGCAUUGCAGGCAGAUUCUUUACCGUCUGAGCCCCCUGGGAAGUCUCACAGAGGGACUCCAUGCAUAGGAAAUGCAAAGAAGACUUUAGCUGCCCUUUGGUAUGCUUGCCUUGCUAUUGUGUUAUCCACUCCCCCACUCAACAACAAAAAAAUCAAUGUAAGUAAACUCCCAGUGUCACUGGAGAAAUUUAGCCCUUUAUUUUCCUUUUUAACAUUAUUAGUCAAGUAGUAAGAGUAAAAUCUUAAAAAAUCAGUGUUCUAUUAGAUUAUAUAUUUCAUAUGCAUUGGAAUUUUGCAUUGUUCCAACAGCUUAAAGCAACUGCAGCGUGGUUGCUUUUUAAGUUUACUCUGGUUAUUUUUUUUUCCUUUAUAAUUGUAACAUAAAGUUUUCAAAGACAAAAAUGAACAAAGGCCAGAAGCCCCAUUGAGCUGUGAAGCAGGGAGGAAGCUUAGUCCCCUCCCACUCCAGCCUACUUGAAAAUGUGCUUCUGAAACCCUUAAGGUAAGACUUUAAAAAAAGAGAAUUGGACAGUUGUCAAGGAUGGUUGGUUUUUAAGGCUUAACUACCUGAGCAAUGUUCAUUUAAAAUAACAUAUGAGUCUCAAUCAAAAUGAUCUAAGCUGAGCAAACGGCUGCUUUGUCCUUCCCUUUCAAGGAAGUUCAGAGGUGCUGCAAAUUUGGGAGAGAGAAAUUUCUUUGGUUAGUGCUCUUUAUUCCUUUUUGGUAAUAUUUUUUUUUUCCUGCAGAUCAUAAAAAAAGUCAAGAUUAUGGGAAACCUUAUGACAAACUUUCCUAGUCAGAGUCCAACCUUUUUUUUUUUCUUCAUUCAUCAUAUAGUCAUCAAAAUAUAGGUCCACCAGAAAGAGUGUGAAGUCAAAGUAUUCUUUGCUUUUGGGAAUCAGAUUUUUUCAUCUGGCAGGGGAAUAAAGGUUUUUCUAGGUCAGUUCCUGUUGUGCAAGAGGCUGGGAUUGUCAUACUUUUUGGGGUGUGGCCCCCAACUGUUGGCUGUUGCAAUGGUAAAAUCUGGAAGUCAGUUUUCCCAGGGCCCAAAACUGGGCUUCUGUCUAACACUCGGAAAUGAAUUGUCUGAGGAGACACAUGUGCUGACAAAGCAAGAGAUUUUAUUGGGAAAGGGCACCCGGGUGGAGAGCAGUAGGGUAAGGGAACCCAGGAGAACUUCUCCGCCGCAUGGCUUGCAGUCUCAGGUUUUAUGGUGAUGGGAUUAGUUUCCGGGUGGUCUUUGACCAAUCAUUCUAAUUCAGAGUCUUUCCUGGUGGCACACGCAUCGCUCAGCCAAGAUGGAUGCUAGCGAGAGGGAUUCUGGGAAGUGGACGGAUACUCAGUGUCUCCUUUAGACCUUUCCCAAACUCUUCCCGUUGGUGGUGGCUUAUUAGCUCCCUAUUCCUUAUCAGGAUCUCCUACCAUAAAACAACUCAUGCAAAUGGUUACUAUGGUGCCUGGCCAGGGUGGGCGGUUUCAAUCAGUGUGCUUCCCCUAUCAAUCCUACCUUCCAAAUGUUGGCGUACCUUCCCAGAGAACUGGGGUUGUUCUUGUAAGACUGGACCUCUAGCAGCAUCUCCUGAAGUGGACAGACUCUCCCUGCUGAAGUCAGUCUGAAUAGUCCACGCUGACUGUGUGUGUGUGUUUAUUUCCUCUGUUGUAACCAACUCUUUGUGACCCCACUGGAGCCCGCCAGGCUCCUCUGUCCAUGGGAUUCUCCAGGGAAGAAUACUGAGUGGAGGGCCAUUUCCUUCUCCAGGGGAUCUUCCUGGCCCAGGGAUCACAUCUGGGUCUUCUACAUUGCAGGCAGACUCUUUACCAUCUGAGCCACAGGGAAGCCACCCUGACUCUCAACCCCUGAGUGUGACGUGACAACUGCCCUUCCUGAGACAGAUGCCCCAGGUGUCCUUGACUUUGCUUUUUGUCCUCAGAACUUCCAUCCCUCUGGUUGAAACAAAAAUUUUCAGGAAAGAUUUUUUUUUUUUUUCUGGAUCACUUUUAUUCUUUUUCUUCAACCCUUGUUUGGGGCUGCUGUAACCAAAGUCUAGAGUUGUGGAAAAAUGCAGUCAGGAUGCUUAAUGUAACCUAGUUUCAUGAACAGAUAUUUUUCGGUGGCUCUCAUAAAUGUUUUAAAUGUGUUCCAAAACAGUGCUGACCUCCUCAUAGAUAGUUCUGUUAACAGAACUGGAACUUGCUUUUUACUGACAUAUUGAUUUAAGGACCAGCUGCCUCCUAGAAAUUGUGAUCAAAAACUAUAAAAGACCAUAAAUAUGUCAAAUGCAUGAGUAUGAACUGGGAAGCUUGAUUUGUCCUAUGAUCCAAUCUGGGUUAAAGAUUGGUACCACUUGAAAUUACUACCCUUUGAGUAAUAAUCGUCAGCAUCCCCCACAUAGUUUGUAUGUGCCUGUGUGCAUGUGAUGUUGUGGAUUUACAAUUUCAUCCCCUGUCCUUCCUAUCCCACUUUAUGAUUCUAGAUUUUUGUUACCCCUCUUUUCUUCCUUCUCUCUCCCUGACUGGCUUGGUAACUCAGAGAGAAUCAAGAAUGCUGGAAUGUCCCAAAUGCUCCUGCAGUCAACUAAAGAGAAAUAAAUUAGUUUUUUGAGAAGUAUAAAGAAAUGGGAUGAGCAUGGUGAACUGAUUUAGAAGAUGAACUCAAGGGUCAACCUCAGCGAGGGCUAGGUAGCGGCAUGAAAUAGAGACUAGAGGAGCAGAAAAUUUGCCUGAGCAGAAGGCUGGGUAUAGGAGUAUGCCAGAGAAAGUUCUUCACAGACUGAUGUAUGUCUAAGCUCAGCCCUAAAGGAUGAAUUAGAAUUAGCCAGAUAAAAGUAAGCACGAGGGAUAAAAGGUGUUACACUCAAAGGAAAUAGUGAGCACCAAAGCCCAUGCUCGAGAAAGAGAUACUAAAUACGUGAGGGAUGUGAGCAUCUGUGGAUUUUGGUAUCUGCAGGGGGUACUGGGAGCAACCCCCCAUGGAUACUGAGAGAUGACUGCAUCUUUGUCACUUCUGAUCUACCACGGUAACUAUUUCUCAAAAGGCUAUAAGAGAAAAGCUACAAUAGAGCAGAAACUGGAGUUUGACUAGUAGGACCAUAUCCUUGCCUGACUUAAUUUACUCAUAAGUUUGAGAUUUAAUAGACUUCCCUGGUGGCUCAGAUGGUAAAGCGUCUGCCUACAAUGCAGGAGACCCAGGUUCAAUCCCUGGGUUGGGAAGAUCCUCUGGAGAAGGAAAUGGCAACCCACUCCAGUACUCUUGCCCGGAAAAUCCCAUGGGUGGAUUCCAUGGAUAGGCUACAGUCCAUGGGGUCACAAAGAGUCAAAUACAACUGAGCGACUUCAUUCACUUUGAGAUUUAAUUGUUUUCUGAAACAGUGGUGAUUGUCUCUAAGCUAAUGCAGCUUGUAUGAAAGACCAGAGAGCUAGUUUAAAACACACAUUGUCAAGUCCCAUCCCAGACCUACUGAAUUAGAAACUCUGGAUCUUGGAUCCAGCAAGCCCAUGUUUUAACACUCCCUCCAGUUGAUUCUGAUACACAUGAACAUGUUAGAACACUGUUGGGUACUAUUCAUGUUUUCUGUGGGAAACACUAUCUUUCUUAUUCAUUACAUUAUUUUUGUGUAUGCUUUAUUUCAAUAAGCGGAUUUUUAACUCCUUGUGGACAAUGAUCCUGUCUGUUUUUAACAUUUCUAUUGAGAUAUAGCAGUUUUGACAUCCAUAUAUACUUUUGAAACCAACACUGUUAUCAAGGUAAAUGACCAGAUAUAUCGCCCUAAGAGUGGUCUUGUCCCUCUUUGCACACCUUCCCUCUGACCUCUUACAGGCCUAAUCUCCCCAGCCUGGGGAAACCAUUUAUCAGCUGUCUCUAGAGAUAAAUUCACAUUUCCCAGAGUUUUAAAUAAGUGGAAUCUUAGAGUAUGUAUUCUUUUUGGUCUAGUUUCUUUCACUCUGCCUCAUUACUUUAACAUUUAUCCAUGUCAUUGCAGUGACAGCUCCAUUUUAUUACUGCAUACUCUGUGACUGUAUGGAUAUAAUUCAGUUCAUCCGGUAAUCUAUUGAUGAGCUUCCAUGUUGUUUCCAGGUUGAAUGUUGACAAAUAAACUUCUGUGAACAUCUGGGGACACAUCUUUGUAUGGACAUAGGCUUUCAUUUCUCUUUGGGUGAAUUUAGGAAUGGAUCGUACGUCACAGGUAUAUUUAUAAGAAACUGCCAAACUGUUUUCCAAAGCAGUUGUAGCAUUUUGCAUUCUCAAUGACAGUGCAUGAGAGUUCCAUUUGUUCUAAAGAAAUCCUCGAUAUAGUCAGGCUUUUUAAUUGCAUUCCUUCUAAUUGGUGUGUAUUAGUAUAUAAUUGUGGCUUUAUUUUGCAUUUCUCUAGUGAUUAAUGAUGGUGAGUAUCUUUUCAUGUGCUCAUUCUUCAUUUGUGCAUCUUUGUUAUUGGAGUGUCUACUCAAAUCUCUGCCUCUUUUAUAGUAGGUUUUUUUUUUUGUUGAUUUUUGUUAGUUCUUUAUAUAUUAUAGGUACAAGUCCUUAACUGGAUUUUAUGAUUUCCAAUAUAUUCUGCCAGAGUUGACUUGUCUUUUCAUUUUCUAGACAGUGUUUCAAAGGGCAUGCCUUUUUAAUUUUUGUGAAGUUGACUUAUCAGUUUGAUCAUUUAUGGAUUAUUGUUUUCAUUUUGUAACUAAAAGAAAACAUUCUAACCAAGUGACAGAAAGUUUCUCCUAUGUAUGUUUCUUGUGGGCAUCAUAUUGUUGGAUUUUACUUUUCUUAAUGGAAUCUGACAAUAUCUUUUAAUUGGGAUAUGCAGAACACAUGUUUAAUGUGGCGAUUCCCAUGGUUACGUUUAAAUGUAGCGUCUUGCUAUUUCUUUCCUAUUUAUUCCAUCUUUAUUUCCUUUCUCCCUUUUUGCCAUCUUAUGGAUUAAUUGAAUACUUUUAUGACUCUAUUUUAUUACCUCUGUUAGUUAUUAGCUGUAACUCUUUGUUGUUGUUUGAUUGCUUUAGGAUUUAUAGUUUACAUCUUUUACUUAUCAUAGGCUAUGCACAAGUAAUAUCAUGCCACUUUAUAGUUUGAGACAGACAGUAUAGUGCUUUCAGUUUUCCCCUUUUGACCUUUGCGCUAUUGUCGUAUGUUUUGCUUUUACAAAUAUUAUAAACCCCACGCUACAUUGUUAUUAUUACUCUUUGUUUAAAUAGUAAAUUAUCUUUUAAAGAAAUGAAAAUAAUAAUAAAAGACUAUAUUUACCCAUGUAGUUACCUUUUUUGGUGCUUUUCAUUCCUUUGUGCAAAUCUGUAUUUCCAUCUGGUAUAAUUCUUUUCUGUCUGGAGAAUUUGUUUUAAUAUUUUUAUAGUGCCAGUCUCCUAGUAAUGAGUCGUUUCAGCCUUUGUAUAUCUGUAAAAGUAUUUUUGGGGGGGGGCUUUGUUUUUGAAAGUUAUUUUUAUUUCAGCAAUUUAAAUAUGCUGAUCCACUGUUUUCUUACUUGCAGUGUUUCCAAUGACACAUUUGCUAUCCUACUUACCUUCUUGUCUCUGUCCUAAUGUGUUUUCUCUCUAGAUGCUUUUAAGAUUUUCUCUUUAUAGACAAUUUUGAGCAACUUGAUUAUGACACAUCUUGGUAUAGAAUUUUUAUGCUUCUUAUGUUGGGGUUUGUGGAGAUUCAUUGAUCUGUAGGCUUAUAAAUCGCCCUUGCCUCUGCUUUUGGACAUAUAAACUAUUAGUUACUAUAACUGUUUUAAUGUCUUUGUCUGCUAAUUGUAACUCCAGAUCAGUUUUGCAUCUAUCUCAAUUAAUUGAUUUCUUUCUCCUCAAUUGGAGUUUUAUGUCAGAGCUUUUUAAAAAUUGGAGUUUUCAAUGGAAACUUUUUAGAAAUGGUAACUUCUGAUUGGAUGCCAGACAGUGAGAAUUUACCUUGCUGUGUACUGUAUAUUUUGUAUUUCAAUUCAUAUUCUUGAAACUUCUUUUGAGAUGCAGUUCAGGUACUUGGAAAAAGCUUGAUACUUUAGGAUCUCAUUUCUAACUUAAGUGAAACAAAACUCAGUCUAGAGCUAAUUAUUUCCUGCUGUUGAGUCAAGGCCUUUCUGUAUAUCUUAUAAUGCCUCAUGAGUCAUGAGGCUUUUUCAGUCUGACUGAUGGGCACAGGUAUAAUUCCUGCCCUUGUGUGAGCACCGGGCACUGUUACUGCUCAUCUUUUUGAAUGGGCCUUUCCUGGCUGUGGGUAGUUUCUUUAAGUACCUGUGCUGAUUGAUAUUCAGCUGAAUAUUUGAAGGGCACCGUCUGCAGGUCUGCAGAUUCAUCUGUGCAGCACUGUCUUCUCCAGUGCUCCAUCCUACAAACUCUCGCUGCCUUGACCUCCCCAGAUUUUCAACUUAGUCUUCUUCUUUUUUUAAACUUUAUUUAUUUCUUUGUGUAUGGCUGUGCUGGGUCUUUGUUGCUGCUUGUGGGCCUUCUCUAGUUGCAGUGACUGGGGGCUACUCCCUAGCUGUGGUGUGGCCUUCUCACUGCAGCGCUUUUCUUGUUAUGGAGCAUGGGCUCUAGGGGACAUGGGCUUUGGUAGUUGAGGUACACAGGUUUAGGUACACGCACCCUGCAGCACAUGGAAUCUUCCUGGACCAGGGAUCAAACUUGUGUCCCCUGCAUUGUCAGAUUCUUAACUACUGGACCACCAGGAAAGUCCUAAACUUUUUAUCUUCUUAAUUGAAGGAGUCUACUGGACUUCAUGUUUUUGCAUAUGGCCUGGACCCUCUCUCAGGGCAAUAAGCUGAAAUGAGUGGUAAAUGUGAUCCCUUACCUGCCUCCUGAGAAAUCUGUAUGCAGCUCAAGAAGCAACAGUUAGAACCGGACAUGGAACAACGGAUUGGUUCCAAAUUGGGGAAGAGUACGUCAAGGCUGUAUAUUGUCAUCCUGCCUACUUAGCUUAUAUGCAGAGUACAUCAUGCAAAAUGCUGGGCUGGAUGAAGCACAGGCUGGAAUCAAGAUUGCUGGGAGAAAUAUCAAUAACCUCAGAUAUGCAGAUAACACUACCCUUAUGGCAAAAAAUGAAGAGGAACUAAAGAGCCUUUUGAUGAAAGUGAAAGAGAAGUGAAAAAGCUGGCUUAAAACUAAACAUUCAAAAAACAGAGACUAUGGCAUCUGGUCCCAUCACUUCAUGGCAAAUAGAUAGGGAAACAAUGGAAAUAGUGAGAGACUAUUUUCUUGGGCUCCAAAAUUACUGCAAAUGGUGCCUACAGCCAUGAAAUUAAAAGACACUUGCUGCUUGGAAAAAAGCCAUGACUAACCUAGACAGCAUUAUUAAAACAACAGAAACAUUAUUUUGCUGACAAAAGGUUGUCUAGUUAAAGCUAUGCUUUUUCCAGUAGUCAUGUAUGGAUGUGAGAGUUGGACCAUAAAGAAAGCUGAGCACUGAAGAACUGAUGCUUUCGAACUGUGGUGCUAGAGAAGACUCUUUUGAGUCCUUUGGACUGCAAGGAGAUCAAACCAGUCAAUCCUAAAGGAAAUCAGUCAUGAAUAUUAACUGGAAGGACUGAUGCUAAAAUUGAAGCUCCGAUAGUUUGGCCACCUGAUGCAAAAAACUGACUCAUUAGAAAAUAUCCAGAUGCUUGGAAAGAUUGAAGAUAGGAGGAGAAGGGGACGACAGAGGAUGAAAUGAUUGAAUGGCAUCAUCGACUCGAUGAACACGAGUUUGAGCAAGCUCCAGGAGUCUGUGAUGGACAGGGAAGCCUGGCGUGCUGCAGUCCAUGGGGUCGCAAAGAGUUGGAUACAACUGAGUGACUGAACUGAACUGAAAUGUGGUCUCUGCUUCCCCACCUUGGCUAAAUGUAAAAGAUACUGAUCCUUGUUUAAUUCUCAUUUUAUAUGUUACAGUUUAUUACACAGUACUGGAGAAUAUGGGCAAUAACAUUUGUUCACAUUGUGUGAGUGUGCGUUAGUUGCUCAGUUGUGUCCAACUCUUUGAGACCCUAUGGACUAUAGCCCACCAGGCUCUUCUGUCCACAGAAUUCUCCAGGCAAGAAUACCGGAGUAGGUAGCCAUUCCCUUCUCCAGGAGAUCUUCCCAAUCCAGGGAUUGAACCUGGGUCUCCCACAUUGCAGGUGGAUUCUUUACUGUCUGAGCCAUCAGGGAAGCCCUCACAUUAAUUAAGUACUUGCUAUUACUAGGAACAUUGUGUUAGCUGAUUUGAUCCUCACAACCACCGCUGGGCAGAAAUGUUAUCUGUAUAUUACAGAUACAAAAACUGAGAGCUGAAGGACUGGUCCAAGGUUUCACAGCCAAUGAUGUCAGAGCUGAUGUUACAGCAGUUUUUGUCCCUCACCCUUGCUUCACAGACCUGCUCUCCCACCGAAGAAGCUUUCCAAGGUGGGUGUCUUAGGUUGGGCCACAAACUGUGCUGAGACUUAAAUCUCAGCUCUGCCACUUAGGCAAAUCCCACUGAGCCUUUGUGGGCCUCAGUUUCUUCAUUUGUAAGUAUGGAAUAUCACACCUACCAUGGAGAGUUCCUGUAAAAAUGAAAUAUAAUACCAAACGUGCAGGUCCUAGCAAUAGUGCCUGGCCCCUUUACUGAAAACCUGUGGAUUAGAUAUAAGAUGUGGUCAUGCUCAGCUUUUGAGAAUCACUCACUACUAAUCAGAUAAUAAAGCUUUCAGUGCAACUCCGGUGAGGACGUACAGCAACUCCGUUUAAUUAUUUACUUUUCAAUACAAUACACAGCGGUUUUGUUUUCAGAGAGCUUUCACAGCCAUCUUCUCGUUUCACCUUUAUGAGAUAAAGAAGGACCCUUUUCUUUUUUUUCCUAUUUGUUUUACAAAGGGAGAAACUGAGACUCAGGGAGGUUAGCAGAUUUGGUCAAAACCCCAAGAUGAGCACGUGGCCAAGACUCACUCAGCUGCAACUUGAAAUCCAGUUCUCUUUAUGCUGUGACAAAGCCUCAGUCAGUAUGUGGAAAACACUUGGGAAAGCCAGUGAACUUUUAAGUGGUUGUAUUUAUGUUCUGAAUGUUAUAAUUAAAACCCAAAUCGUGGGUAUUUUUCCAGUAAAUGAGCAUGUGUUUUGGUGAAGAAAUCCUUAUGUUGCUAAGAAGGAAGGGAGUUGGUUUUCGACUCUGGCUUUGUGGAAACUUGGCGCCUGAAUUAGACGAGUUUUCCAAAUAACCACGUGACUCUAGCAGAAUCCCCAGAGAUGACAAGUAGCACAGAGUUGCGGAAUUAGAUUUUUCUUUCUCCUUCUAGACUUUCAUAUUGCAUGCAUUUUUGAAGAACCUUUACUGUUUAUUUUUAAAUGGGAUACUAUGUAGGUGAUAUUGGUGCCUUUCGUUUUAUGUGUCCGGAAUUUCAACCUACAGGCAAUAAGAAGACUGUAGUGAAAUUGGCCUUAGACCGUUAAUAAAUUCUACGCAGAGAUGCAUAAAUCAGCAAAGGUUAUUUUUUUUAACUCCUCCCCCCACCCACAAAGGGUGGUUAAGGGAGAACAGGAAAGGAAGGUCUUCAGAGAAUUGUUUUCUCUAGGAGUUCAGAAAAUAAAAGAAAGCAUUGAGCAAUGCCCAGUGCUGGUUAGCAGAUUGUCAUUUUUAGGUUUGAUGUUCCAGGGUUUAAUUGUCUUUCAUGUGAACAAUAGCAGACACUCUCUGGUGUGCUAUGCUCGCAUGAUAAAAGGGGGUCGUUCUUGCAUAGCAAUGCCUUUUUUUUAUUAUUAGCGUAAAAAAUUAGCAAGCUGGAAGUCGUUAGAAGGAGUUCCACCAGCAUUAAUUGUAAUGCAGCUUGAAUUUGUUUGCAGACCAGGGCAGCAAGACAAUAGCAAGGAGGAAAAAAAAAAGAGCAAUAUUAAUAGCCUUCUACUUAUUGUAUCAUUUUAGUGGGCCUUAAUAAGGUGUCUGCUGUCAACCAGAAUUUAUUUUUUUAAAAAAAGACAUCGUAAUUGAUGUAUUGCAGUAAGUAUGGAUGAGGGUUCGACUUGAUUAAUGUAUGAGCUGGCUUUUUAAGGCAUUUUAAAAAGGCUUCUUAACCCUGUCUUAAGAGACUGGCACAAGCCCACUGUAAACUACCUCUUUGCAAUUGGAAAGCAGCCUGACAGCUGCUGAUGUCUCUUGUGGGCUUCUCUCUCUCUCUCUCUCUUUUUUUUCUCUUCCUGAUCGGAGAAAACUGAAGCAAUAUACCCCUUGUCAAUAAUUGCAGUGCUUAAAAAUCUUAUAAAGGGAUUUUGACUUUUCCCUCCUGAGAUAACUUUCCAAAGGUUAAAUUAGUUUUACUUGUAUGUGCUUCAAAUAUCACCACUUUCAGUAAGGGCUGAAUUUGGUUUUUAAAUAAGCUGCUAUUUUGUGGGUUGCUUGUCCCCAGACCCUAGGUGACAGAAACUGUUUUGAUGUCAGAGAUGAACAUGAUCCAAAAGCAGUUGCAGGUCAAGUUCAAGAUGUUUCUUCACGCUCAAAUGGCUUGCGUUGUUUCCAAAGUGUGUGUGUGUGUGUGUGCAUGUGUGUGAGAGAGAGAGAGAAAAAGAGACAGACAGAGACAGAUAUGGAUGAAGAGAAAGACAGAGACAGACUGAUUAAGCAUCUGAUAUAGGAAAAUAAAACACGGGCUUCCCAGAAUCUUUCUCUUUACAUCAGUUUGAGAUCCAUUCACCCAUUUCUCCAUUUGUUCAGCUACUGUGUAUCAACUCCAUGCGAUAUUUUCUUUGCAUCAAAAGUGUUUUAUAAGAAACAAAGCAACCUAGUGAUAAUCCCAGGAGAGAUAGGAGAGAGUAAAAGAAAAGGAAAUUGCAACCCUUGGCUUCCUAUGGCAUCUCUAGGUGUCCACACUAUGCCCCAGGAAUAUUAGGGCAUCUCUUUUUUGAUAAGAAGAAGACGGUAUUUGAAGAAUUCCAAGCUGACUGAAACUCUCUGGCUAUCACCAACCAGCGUUGAGAGAAGCAUCUCGUCAUUAUUCAGCACCACUGUCUUCACUUGGAUUGAGAGAAAGUCCAUAAACACAAGAGAGGAAGAAAUGAGAGUGGGAGGCCAGGCAGGGGAGGCACGUGCCUAAGGC